CCGUCCGUUCCUAUCAAACCGCAUCACCCGGCCUUCCUCGCGCGGCUCGGCUGGACUUGACGGCUCUCUCAGUCCCAGCGACUCAGCCACAAUGGCCAGAUCAUUGUAAUUAAUUAGACAAAAAACGAUCCCAAAAUUUCUCGCGUUCCUUAUAACGCACAGACGCCCAAACAUCGCCGCGAUGAUUCUAUCGCCGAGCAGGAAGCAGGAUGUGCACUCCAUCGGAGACACCGCCGCUCAGGCAUUGCAGGGAUCCCCCGAUUGCCAAAGCUUCAUCAAUCGCUCAUCAGGUUUACGGCACAAAAAUCUGAUUCGAACCCACCACCGGCUAUAUCCACAGGAACACCGCAUCUUGCAGCUGGAGGUGCCCCUGCCCCCAUCCUCCAAAGGGGAUCUAGCCAUCUAGAUCGACAACAAUCGUUGCUGCCGCGCGGGGGUUCAUUGACUGGCGCAGCCCAGGUAAACCAGUCAUGAUUUGAGCCAUAAUCACCCGGGGCUGGACUAUCCCCAUUUUUUUCGUGCGUGCCCAUUGAAAAGCGCAGGAUUGCUUAUUUUGUUGUUGAGUCAUCACUUUCUCGGUGAUUUUUACUACUGAUAAUCCCCAAUUUUGCUCACCCAUCGUGGGUAUUGAAGAUAAAUUUAUCCGUGCAGGCAAAUGAGCUUCCGAUCCACGACAGCAGCAAAGAGAUAUAUGUCAGUUGCCAAUUGCCAUGCUAUAGAUGUUCUAUGAAUUGAGAUAGCAUUAUCUGGAUUUCAUUAUUUUCAGUAUCUCAUUGGGUUCGUGGAAAAUAGACUGAUCUGGGUAUUUUUGUACACUGGUAAAUUGAUGAAUCCAUUACCAAUCUUAGAUUCUAGUAAUCAUUUAUAAAGAUUAUCAUAAAUCACGUAUGAGGGACAUAUAUUCUAGUAAAUCAUUUCGAGAAAUCCGAGUAAAUAGAUUUUUUAGAAAUCAUAAUUGAUAUAUUUGUUAUGGUUAGACUUGCUUUCUCGUAACACGCAGUUGUUUUGUGGAUCUGGCAAUUGGCUCUGUGUUUCCUAAUUUCAGUAUCUUGGGCUACAAAGGAGCCUGACUUCAAAAUCUUAAGUUGAUUAGUUCUCCAGAACCUUUUUCUACUAAAUCAUAAAAAAAGUCCAUCUAGACUAGCAGCUGUUUCCAUUAUCUUCAUUUACUCUUCAGUAUUUUACCUCAUUUACUAAUUUAUUUUCAUAUGUUCUUGCAAGACCAUAGCGCAUAAUACUUUGUAAUUUUAUUAUAUAUCCAUCGACCCUUCACACUAGUAAACACACCACAUAGUAAAUUUUCUAAUUAUUUUUUGCAUGGCAAUUUUAGUAAGUUUAACAUAGUAAGUUUAACAAACCAUAGCUGUAGGUAAAUUAUUGAUUACCACCAAUUUUUCAGUAAAUUCUCAAUGAGCUGCGAUACUUUUUUACGUGAACUAUGGUUUCCUGUUUCAUGACCUGAGUAGUUUUUUACUUCCUUUUUUUUUUAAGGAGAUGAGGCCCCCUCAGUAAAUGCAAGGGAGAUUAAAAUCAUUCUCGGUAGAAACCACCCAAGGGAUUUGGGCCAUCGAAGUAAGUUCCAUCACUGGUGCUGGUAGCAUCCACCUGCCGAUGCUGCUGGACAGCCACAACCAUCAGCACGACCUCAGCUGGAUCUUAGGGCUUAUUCUUAUAUACCACAAAACUGCAAUUUUAACUGAUAAAUUAUGUGUUGCAUCUGUGUUGGUAACCUUAUUUCCUUACACUUUCAGUUUUAGAAGCUACAUUUCCCCAAGCCUUUGAUUGUACCAUGGAGCGUGAUAAGGGCAUCUGGGUAAAUAGUACGCCAGGUCUGCUCAGCGUCAUUUGGGAACAGAAAAUGGGCAAAUCGUAAUUAAUUUAUAAUAAUUUUACUCCGGGCCGGGUCAUUGUAGUAACGGGUCGUUCAGAAUAUGAUGAAUCAAGAAGAUCAUGUCGUUGUCUCAUACAACACAAAGGAGGAGUUACUAUUCAUCAAAUUAUACAUUCAUACAGCAC